AGCCCCGCUGGGGCCCGAACUGGCCGGCCUUGCUCUGCGGGUCCUGAGAAGUGGCCUCUGUGUCGGGAGCCCGGCUGAGAUGCCAGGUGUUGGAGAAGCCGGUUAAGGCAACAAGGCGAACAGGAAAGAGAUGCAGUUUACGUGAACUGACCCCUCUUCUCAACUUAGCCUAAGUGCUGUCUCUGAGGUCACAGGUUUCUCGUCCUGGUUUUCUGAGUACACAUGAAAGUCAUCCAUAAAAAGGCUGGAUGCCAGUCGCUCACCUGCCCAUGAUUGACGAGCAGCGUCCCAACCUGUGACAAGGAGUGGAAGUAGAAGAUGCCACCCAAGGUCCCGUCCGGUUCUGCCUGUGAAACAAUCCAACAGACACCGCGGGUGAGCAUGUUCUGAGCCGAAGCCUGGCUGCAGACUUAACUCCAGACUCCGAAACAAGCUGAAAUGAAGGAAAGUCUUUUUUAUUAUGCUCGGUUUCCCCUGUUUGGAGCUGCGGCAUGUGAGGCAGAACCUCGGGUGAAGGCGGUG